rnacentral:rRNA from 1 species
UUGGAGGGCAAGUCUGGUGCCAGCAGCCGCGGUAAUUCCAGCUCCAAUAGCGUAUAUUAAAGUUGUUGCAGUUAAAAAGCUCGUAGUUGAAUUUCGGGAUCAAAUAAUCGGUCGUGCCUCCGGUACGUACUGGUUUUAUUGGUUCCUCCCUUCUGACGAACCAUGAUGUCAUUAAUUUGAUGUGGUGGAGAAUCAGGACUGUUACCUUGAAAAAAUUAGAGUGUUUAAAGCAGGCUAACGCUUGAAUACAUUAGCAUGGAAUAAUGAAAUAGGACGUUCGACCCUAUUUUGUUGGUUUCUAGGACCGACGUAAUGAUUAAUAGGGAUAGUUGGGGGCAUUAGUAUUCAAUUGUCAGAGGUGAAAUUCUUGGAUUUAUUGAAGACUAACUACUGCGAAAGCAUUUGCCAAGGAUGUUUUCAUUAAUCAAGAACGAAAGUUAGGGGAUCGAAGACGAUCAGAUACCGUCGUAGUCUUAACCAUAAACUAUGCCGACUAGGGAUCGGAUGAUGUUAAUUUUUUAAUGACUCAUUCGGCGCCUUACGGGAAAC